AUGGCGGCCUCCACGAUGGCAGCACCGACGACCGACCACCUGGAGCCUCCGAUGGCCGCGUCCCGCACGCCCAUCCGCGCGAUCCUGGCCGCCACGGACGCCCUCGCCGGCGAGCGCGUGGUCGUGGGCGGCUGGGUCCGGGCCGGCCGCGUCCAGUGCGGCGGCACCAUGGCCUUCCUCGCCGUCAACGACGGCUCCUGCCACGCCAGCCUGCAGCUCGUCGUCGAAGCGGCCCGGGUGACGCACCCGCCGCUCGACCGCCUCGCGGCCACGGGGACCUCCGUGCUCGUCUCCGGCGUGCUCCGGGUCCCGCCCGGGAAGAGCAAGGAGCGCAUCGAGCUGGGCGUCGAUGCCGUCAUCGACGCCGGCGAGGUCGACGACCCGGCCGCCUACCCGCUGCCAAAGGGUAGGAUUAAGCUCGACCACCUCCGGGACUUCCUCCAUCUACGACCGCGCAACGACACCAUCGCGGCGGUUGCGAGGAUGAGGAGCGAGCUGACGUUCGCGACGCACUCAUUCUUCCGGGAGAUGGGCUUCCUGUGCGUGCACACGCCGAUUAUCACCACCGACGACUGCGAGGGCGCCGGCGAGAUGUUCCAGGUGACCACACUGUUCAGCCAGGCCCAGAAGGCGGACGGGGACCUCCGGCUGAAGCUCUCGGCCGGAGCUCCUCGCCAGGACGAGGAUGAUGGUCGAACUGUCGGUUUCGAGAGUGACUUCUUCAAGCGUCAGGCUUUCCUCACCGUCUCCGGCCAGCUGCAGGCCGAGGCCUACGCCUGCGCACUCAGCGGCGCGUACACCUUCGGCCCCACGUUCCGCGCCGAGAACUCGCACACGUCGCGGCACCUCGCCGAGUUCUGGAUGAUCGAGCCGGAGAUCGCGUUCGCAAACCUGCAGGAUAUCAUGAACUAUGCAGAGAGUUACGUGCAGUACCUCUGCAAAUGGCUGCUGGAGCAUUGCAUGGAGGACAUGGAGUUCAUGGCUAAAACCCAUGAUAAGUCUGCGAUUGAGCGUCUCGAGCUCGUUUCAUCGACGCCUUUCGAACGUGUCUCAUACACAAAGGCUGUCGAAAUGCUGACGGGCUCAGCUGGUAGCAAGAAGUUCCAGACAAAGGUUGAAUGGGGAAUCGAUUUAGCGUCUGAGCAUGAGAGGUACUUGACUGAGGUGAUAUUUAAAAAGCCUGUCAUCGUUUAUAACUACCCGCGAGGGAUAAAAGCAUUUUAUAUGAGGCUCAACGAUGACCAGAAGACCGUGGCUGCCAUGGAUGUUCUAGUUCCCAAGGUUGGUGAAUUGAUUGGUGGAAGUCAGAGGGAGGAGCGCUUCGAUAUCCUUAAACAACGGAUACUGGACGCAGGUUUGCCUAUGGAAUCCUAUGAGUUCUAUCUGGACCUUCGACGCUAUGGAUCCGUGAAGCACAGCGGGUUCGGGCUAGGCCUAGAGAGGAUGCUCCUCUUUGCCACUGGCCUCGACAACAUCAGAGAUGUCAUCCCCUUCCCGAGAUACCCUGGGAAGGCCGACCUAUGA
rnacentral:rRNA from 1 species